rnacentral:lncRNA from 1 species
AAAGAGAAGUAAAUAAAAAACCAAACUAACCAUAAUUAUUAAAAGCAUAGAAGAAAAGGAAAGAGGGAAUAGGGGCGACUGUUGGUGAGAGGAAAACGGGAGAAAAAAAACAAUGAAGGGAAAAAGGAAGAGACUCAAAGGGGGAGAAGAGGAAGAGACUCAAAGGCAGAGAAUGUGUGGCAUCGAAGAGAAAGAGACCGAGGCUAAGCAUGUAACCUAAGAGGAAGUGACUGGCGCUGAGCGCAUUUGUGCCAAAAAGUAUGGUCGUCGUUUGGCAACGACGACGUCGUAGAAGGUUUGAGUUUUUUGUCGUAUCUUUUUUGUUUUCUCAUUUAUAAUGUUAUCUUGUUUUUACUCUUACAAAUAUGAACAUUACAUUUUUAUAACAUUAGAGUGGUUAUAUGGUGAAAAUAAAGAACAAAUAUAUUUAUUGUACAACAAAAAAAAAAUAAAAAACAAAAAAAAUACUUUGCCUUUUCGUGUGUGUGUUUUUCUUAUUGUUGUUUUCUUUUAGUUUUUUUGUCUUCUUUGUAUGUAUUUUUUAUUAAAGAAAAUUAGUAUCAGAUGAUGUCCAUCCAAAACUCCCCCAUCUGUUUAAAAAAAAUGUGUAUUUAUAGAGUGUUUUCACUUCUUUAGUUGUUUUUCCCUCUAUGUGCUUCAACAUUAGUUUUUUUUUUUUUAUAUAUGUUUCAUUUUCUUUGUUCAUAAUCUGAGUUUCUAUGCUCAUCUGAUGCAUUCACGUUUUUAGCUUAUUUGUUUUUAUCUGACUGUGCUUAUUCUCUUUUUAUGUUUAAGAAACAAAGCAUGUUUUGAAUGAAAUAAAGGUUUGUCUCCAUUUGUUGCUCUGGUUAUGGUAGCUUGUUUUCUUGCUUUUGUUUCAAACUCAAGGUUUUGACUCUUUGCCUUUGUAUCAUGCGGAUAUUAACCAGAUGAUAAUGACAUUGUUUUUCAUUUUAUUCAUUAAUUCAUUCACUCAUUAUGUGCUAUUUUGGAUUAUCUCAUUUGAUGUUUAUAAUUGUAAUAUCAAAAGAUGAGAUGAAAUGAGUGUCAAUAUUUAUUAUUUUUUGUUAUAUCACUUUUAAUUUCAUUAUAUAUAUAUAUAUAUAUAUAUAUAUAUAUAUAUAUAUUAUUAAUGGUUAUGAAUGCAAGAAAAUAUAUAGUUUUGUUUUUUUGAAAAUUUUAAGAUUUACAUAAAAUAUGAUAUAUUUUGACUAUUAUAAUUUAAUUUAUCUGACAAAAGUGAACUACUACAACUACCCUGAUUUAAUUAUAUUUAACUGAAAAAAUAUAAAUAACAAUGAUCUUCAUAUUAUCCUUGUAAAAGAUAAGUAAAUAUAACACCUAAAUUUUGCCUGUCAAGAUAAAUGCGAAAACAUGUAAAUUGGUAAUUCGAAGUAAUGCAAAAUCCGAUUAAAAAAAAAAAGCGAAAACAUGUGCAAUGUAAAAGCAUGUGAUGCAAUUUUGUGUGUGUUUUUUUUCUUGUUGUUUGAUCAACAAGGAUGAAAAAUGAUCAUUUUCAAAUUGGUUACUUGGGCGUAGACCAAUUAUAAUGAAAAUGAUCGUCUUCUGUAAAUCACGACCUUCUCACCUAUUGAUAUUGGCACUGUAAAUCACGACCUUCUCACCUCAUUUUUCUCUCCAUAGGAAAUAGUGAGUUUUUGUCUUCCGUGGAAAUCGAACCCGGUACCUGGGGGAUAAGUACUGUCGUCCAUUCAUUUCCACUGCCAAUUGAGCUCCGAUAACGGUAAGGUCGGUGAUCUGCUGUCGCACACGGGUCAAAUACAAUUGAUAAAAUGUAAAUAAAGGUAAUAACUCGAGUCGUUUUGCAAGGACUUCUGAUAUAAUAAUAUUAACAGAAUUGAAAGUAGAAAUUAGAAAGGGGGUUUUUUAGAUUUUUCUUUUAACAAAUGAGCAAAACGAUUAAUCCACUUAUUCGAGUUUCAGACGUAUCACAUAUUUUAUCAAUGAGUUUAAUUUCUAAUUUGUGAUUCUAUUCUUAUUUUACUAUCAAAUUGAUCAGACAAGCGUAAUCAAUCCUAUGUGAAUUCAAUUUCUUUGACUGGAUUAAGCUUUACAACCAUCAAAAUAUUACAAUUAACGAUCAAGCGUCGCAAAAUUAUAAUUCAAUUAAAUUAGAAAUCGAAACCACAUUAUGUCAAAUGAAUUUAAUCGAUUCUAUUGAAAUACAAUUUAAGCAGUCAUAAUAUCAAUAUAAUCAAAUAAACAAAAUAGAAUCACAAAGCGAAAUUGACAGUGUAACCUGAAUUUCAAGGUGUUGAUGAAACUCUGAACUUGUAUUAAUCUUAUAAAAUUAGCCUUCCUUGAAAUUAAAAUAAAAAGUGUUUAUUUUUUUUAUCAAUCUGAAUCCUAAAAUUUUAUGUCAUAGAAAGGAAAGAAAACUCCCAAUAUAUAGUACUCAAUUUUGGGAUUCAAACCCUAAACCCUAAAAUUAUUACAAAAGUCAAGAUUAUGAUAUAUGCUUAGGCCUAGUAAAGUUCGAUAUUAGACUUUUAUUCCAACACAAAAGUUGUAGCUCUGAUUUUUAGCUUUCCAACACCUACUCGUAUGCGCCAAUCCGAUAUCUAGAGCUCAAGUUAUGGCCUACAGAGCGAGCAAGGGUCGAAAUGCAAAUAAUAAAAUUAUAACUCAAUUUCGACCCAAAGUUUAGAAACAAGCUAAAAAAAUUACUUUAAGCUAUAAAGAAUUUUUAAAAUACCAAACUAAAAAGCUAGAAACAUGUGCCUAAAUGCUAUGAUCAAAUUCCCCCACACUUAAGCUUUUGCACUCGAUUCCAAAUAUUCUCAUGAAUGCAAAGUGGUGAGAGAAAAUAAAUAUUUCUAGCUGAAGGCAAUCAUGAAUAGUUUUUUUUAUCACACCACAAAUAAGAGGACAAGUUAACUAAAAAAUGCAUCAUAAAUGAUAGAGUCCUCCCAAGAUAUAAAAUUAUAUCAACCACUCAAAGUGUUUGGGCUAUUGUUUACACUCAAAUCACAUCAUGAAAGCUAGCACUACCAUAUGCUUGACAAGCCUCUAAUAUCUAUAUUUGAAACACAUGCACAUAAUGAUCAAAAUAUCUUUAUUCAGGUUGUAACCUAGCCAACGUAAGAUAAUUCUAUGGAGACUAAGGCUGAAAAUCAAAGAGGAUAAAUGAGUAAUGAUUAAGAGACAAAAACAACAUUAAGAAGUAACUCAACAAAAUAUCAUUGACUUUUAUUCUCACACUCUGUUUGCUUACAACACAACAAUUUUCCUCAUUUUGUUCCUCAUUUUUUUUCUUUUCUUUUUUUCUCUUUGUUUUUUUUGUUUUUUGUUGUUUUUUUUAUAACCCUCAAAUUUAAACAAGCAAGUUGAGCACCCUCAUACUUAUUUAAGGAAAGACUCCUUUUUACUCCAAGAUUGGGUCAAUUCAUUGUUUUUUACUUUUAGGCUUGUAAUGAGCUAUAUAACAAAGAAUGAGAUAAUUAGGCUCAAAUGGCUUAAAUAAAUGGAUAAUUGUAAGGUAAGCUUAUUUGGCUAGUAGCUUAACAAGAAACAAAUGCCUAGAUCAUUUCAAUAUAUGCAUGCGGACAAGAGUCAAGUCAAGUUCAAGCGUAACUAGCAAUCAUGAGUGAGAUAACACACAAGAAAAACAGAUGGAAAAAUGUAUUCCAUUCAUAAUAAGGCUAAAAAAUCUCACAAAGGUUAAUGACCUAUCACAAAUGAUACACAAUUUAGCAUUUUAAUCCAAUUUAUUUUAUCAAGAAUGCAAAGAUACUAUCCAAUCAUGCUAGUCCAAACAAACUCACAACAUUUACAACCACAAAAUCUGAUGAAAAAGCAGGCAGUGCAAUAUCCAUUUUUUUUUAAUAUUUUUAAUAUUUUUUAUUUUUUAUUUAUUUUUUGAAAUAUAACAAAUAAAAUACUAAAUAAUACUCCCACACUUAAAUUACACAUUAUCCUCAAUGAAAGUAACAAGUAUAAAAUAAGAGUAAGGAAAUGGAGCUCCCUGUUCAAACUUCAGUGUAGGUGGGCUUUUCCAAAAAGAGUUCUUCUAUGGUAGCAUCUUCAAGCACAUAGCUCUCACAGAAUAGCUUGAGGCGUUGUCCAUUUACUUUGAACACUUUCUCGAUGUUUUCACUUUUUAUUUCCACUGCACCAUGAAAGUAACAAGUAUAAAAUAAGAGUAACGAAAGAGAGCUCCCUGUUCAAACUUCAGUGUAGGUGGGCUUUUCCAAAGAGAGUUCUUCUACGGUAGCAUCUUCAAGCACAAAGCUCUCAUGGAAUAGCUUGAGGCGUUGUCCAUUUAUUUUGAACACUUUCUCGAUGUUUUCACUUUUUAUUUCCACUACACCAUGAGGAAAAAUGUUAGUAACAUCAAAAGGGCCAAUCCACUUGGAUCGAAGUUUCCCAGCCAUAAUUUUCAAACGGGAGUUGAACAAUAAAACAUUUGGCCAAUGGAAAAUUCCUUCCUAGAAAUCAUCAUAUCACGAAAGUACUUAGUUUUCUCCUAAUAGAUCUGAGAGUUCUCAUUAGCUUCAAGUCUAAGCUCUUCAAGUUGUUGCAAUUGAAACUUUCUCUCCAAAUCUGCUUUCUCUAUCUCAAGGUUACAAUUCUUGACUAUCCAAUAAGCAUGGUGCUCUAAUUCCAUUGGGAGGUGGCAUGCCUUUCCAAACAGAAGUCGAUAAGGGUACAUCCCCAUUUGGUGUUUUGUAGGAUGUUCUAUGAGCCCAAAGAUCUUCUUCAAGUCGGUGGCUCCAAUAUUUCCUGUUUGGCUGCACCAUCUUUUCUAAGAUCUGUUUAAUUUCCCUGUUUCAGAUUUCAGCUUGCCCAUUAAUCUUGGGAUGAUGAGGUGUAGAAACUCUAUGCAUAACGUCAUACUUCCGAAGCAAAGGGUCCAUGGUGCAGUUGCAAAAAUGAGUGCCUUGAUCACUUAUGAUUGCCCGAGGUAUUCCAAACCUGAAAAAAAUAUUUGAUCUGAUAAAACCUGCAACAACUUUAGAAUCAUUAGUCCUAGUGGGUACUACUCCCACCCACUUCGAAACAUAAUCAAAAACUAGUAAAAUUUAGACAAAACCAAAAGAUACAGAAUAGGGGCCCAUAAAAUCAAUGCCCCACACAACAGAAAAGCAUAGGUUGUUGAGGCAUAUCACUCCUACGAGUGAUUGUUGUUCCUGUUAUUUGGCACUAUUCACAAUUUUUGUAAGUCUCAAAAGCAUCUUUAAACAAAGUGGACCAAAAGAAAUUUGAGUCUAAAACUUUUCUUGCUGUCCGUUGAGGGCCAAAAUGUCCACUGCAAGAAAAACACCAUUUUGUGGCCAACUUUAUAAAUAUUUUGUGGCCGAAUAAAACCCUCACAAAUUAGUGACCAAAAAAGCCCUCACAAAUGUCAAAAUUGAAAUUGGUCUUUAUUUGUGGCUGAAAAAGCCCUCACAAAUUUUUAAAUAUUUAACUGGAUUUUGUGGCUGCCUAAGCCCUCACAAAAUCACAACAUUGUGAUUUUGUGAGGGCUUAGGCAGCCACAAAAUCCAGUUAAAUAUUUAAGGAUUUUGUGAGGGCUUUUACAGCCACAAAAAAUCAAUUUUGUGAGGGCCAAAUCCGUCACAAAGGCAGACGGGACAAGUGGCAUUUGUGGCUGCAAAGGCUGCCACAAAGGAAUGCGCACGUGGCAUUUGUGGCUGCAAAGGCCGCCACAAAGGAGGCCCAAGACAGUUGGGGUUUAUGGCCGCUUAGGCCGUCACAACUGAUUGUACCGUUGCAUUUUCUGGCGGCAAUGGCCGCCACAAAUGGCAUUAUAGCCGUUGGCUUUUCUGGCCGCCCAGGCCGCCACAAACGUCAUGUAUCCGUUGGCAUUGUGGCUGCUUUGGCCGCCACAAAUGCUCAACGUGACCCUAUAUAUAUUUUUCUCCCCUCCUCCUUCAUUUUUUCACAUCCAACUUCUCUCUACAACCUCAUUCUAACCAUUCUCUCCUCCUUCUCUCUACACAAAAUUACAAGCUUCAUUUAAAUUUGGUAAGUAUAAAUUAUAUUAUAUAUGUAGUUUUAUAAUUUUAUUUUUUAAUUUGAUAUAACUAAUUAAUGUUAUUGAUUUUUAUUUUUACAGUGCUUGUUAAUUAUUUCGAAGACUUGCAAGCAUCGUACGUGAGUGAAAGCUUGAAGUCAGACGCUACUCGGC